CGUGGGUAACCUGCCCAAGAGACUGGGAUAACACCUGGAAACAGAUGCUAAUACCGGAUAACAACACUAGACGCAUGUCUAGAGUUUAAAAGAUGGUUCUGCUAUCACUCUUGGAUGGACCUGCGGUGCAUUAGCUAGUUGGUAAGGUAACGGCUUACCAAGGCAAUGAUGCAUAGCCGAGUUGAGAGACUGAUCGGCCACAUUGGGACUGAGACACGGCCCAAACUCCUACGGGAGGCAGCAGUU
rnacentral:rRNA from 1 species